AAUCAAUGGCUGGUCAGUCAGGUUCUGAGGCCGGCCUCUCAGGUGAGGAGAUAGGUAUUUAUUUAAAUAUACAUUAAGUCGGGCACUUAAAGCCCGAAACUCAGAACCGUGGUGGAUUCACCCUAGGAUGGAGGACGCAGCGCUGCGAUUUCUGGGGAUUCUGAUGCAAACGCAGUUGGUAAGGCCUGAGUCCGAGUUACUGGGCUUUGACAGAGGGGAGGGCUGAAGAAGACCCUCGAAGCUCAAAGUCUGGUUAAGCGGAAUUGCCAGAAAGGCUGGUCCACAUCCCAGUGUUGUAGGGGAAAGGCAGACUGUUCAGUCGUCCCCGGGACCUGAGGCAACAAGGCCUGAAGGAAGGGGGUGGGGGGCAGCCAGAUCUGCCAGGAGGGAGGCAGGACCACACGCGCAGCACACACCCCGAAAGCACCAGUGAUGAAACCACACUCGUUUCCUCUUCCAUUUUGAUUGCCAAAGCAAAAAAGAAAACGAGCCGCCUGCUCUCUCAGGUGUGAAAAAAGACUGUUGGCUUCAGAACAUUUUGCUUUGAAUGAGGAAGGAAAGGGGAACACAAGAAAAAAAAAAUUCCUUUGAAACAAAUAUAUCAAUGUCAUUUUUUUUCUUUCUGCUCUUGAAGAUUUCUGCCACUCAGGUAAAUUUCAGGCAGAGCAUGUACUCUGGAACCAGAGGGCCUGGGUUUAAAUCCCAGCUCUGGCGCCUAUUAGUUCUGAUCCCAGGGCAAGUGACAGUGUUUCGGUGCCUCUCUUUCCACAUCUAGUUGGAGGAAUAGUCAAUGGGUCAACAUUUGUAAAGUGUUUGGACAACUGCGGAUCAUGAAGUAGGUGCUAGGUGAAUGUUUUUUAAUGUAAACAUUGGAUUAUGGUUUUCAGCAUGAAAAGGAACAAAACUCCAUUCAGCUCCCAGCAAAUCCAACUAGAACUGAAGGUUUCCAGGGUGAGCAAAGAGGUAGUAGUCUCAGAUAACAUGGUAUGGUUCAUAUUUAAAACCCAUAAAACUCUACUCUCCGCUCCACCCCUGUGGGGUGCCUGCCUGAGUCACUCAAUCUCAGAGCCACAAAUAUUUUCUGAGCACUACUGUAUUGGAUGCCUGGGAGGCAAAAAGGAGCCAACAGCCUUGGGUCUCCUGGAGAGGAUACAACUGUUCUUAGGAGGUCCAGGCAGCCCUGUGUUCCUCUUGAAAGUGUCGUAGAAAUGGCACAGAAUAGCAAUUUCAUGUUCAAGGAUUUGUUCUGCAGAAAGUCAUCUGGUGAAUAUGCAAUAAAGAUGGAGUAAUGCAGCGGCUUGAAGUAGGAUCUCAGUUCCCAGACCAGGGAUCAAACCUGGGCUACAGCAGUGAAAGCAUCAAAUCCUAACCACUGACCAACAGGGAACUCCCUGAAGAAAGGAUUUUCGUGGCAAAGAAAAGUCACUGGAGGGUCUUUAUCACUGAGCAACUCAGUUGUACUAAUUACUUUAGGCUUCAAGAGCCAUUGGAGGUUUUUGAACAAGGAAGAGACCUGAUUAGAAGGAACAAGCAGUAAUUUCGUAGUUUGUGACCACAGAGUAACUGGUCUCUAUGAUGUGACUCCUGGCUCUGUCACUAAUUAGCUAUAAAGCCAGUGACCAGUUACUCUGCUUCUCUGUGUUUCUACCAAAUGGAGAAGGUAGUGAUAACAGAUAACCCAUCUCCUACCAUUGUUGUUGAGGUCGAGUGAGUUAAUGUUUUUAGAGCACAUGGUAAGUGCUGAGAAUGUCUGUUACAUUUUAACAGUUUUAUGCCUUUGGAUUAAAAUCUUUGCAUUUCAUUUUCAAAUUUUUAUUACAAAGAACUAGCAUUACAUGACAAAUUCUUAACUAUUCUUUCUUCACACGUUCACAGGAUUAUAGAUUAUUAAUUUCAUUGGACAGAUAGAAGAAUUUAAGUUUUAAGGGGAGAGAGAGAGUCUGAGAAUCACAUUAGUGAAUCAUGAGUUGAAUCUGUGAGUUCUGAAUUCUAGUUCAGUGGUCCCUGCCCCACACCCAAGGUUAUCUCUUAGCUUCAAUUCUUAGAGCCUUGAGAAUAGGGAAAGUGGAGAGUGGAAGAAACUUUGGCAAUUUCACUGCUGUUUCCCUUAUGGCAAUUUCCCAUACUGCAAUAAAGGACAGCAAUAAAGAAAAAUCCAAACAG
ensembl:lncRNA